GAGCCCGUACGGGGGGCAGCCGCAGUACUACGACGAGGAGCCCGCCGCCGGCUGCAGCGUCAUGUGACCAACCAAACUUUGAAGGCCAUGGUCGAACAUAUAUUUCAUAUACAUCUUCUGCUAUGAUGGCCCAAAAAAAAACGUAUUUUGAUCGGUUUGUUCGUAUCAUGUGCAUGUGUAAAGAUGAACAAGAAAUGCAUGCUAGCUGGGCCGGGAUCCAUGUGUGUAGUAGAGUACUGUAAUGUUUUUUUUUUUUUGAAAGGUAGAGUACUGUAAUUUAGUUGUGUUUUCACCUUGGUGUAUGUAUUUAUGACGAUGAAAACAACCAUGAUCGAGGGUUCUUUUAGAGCUUUAAUCAGACUUUUGACUUGUGCAGUUUUCUCAUAGUAAACAGCACAAUUCAUGUAGGAAAACAAAAACUCGGAGAAAUUUCAUCGUAUACCACCUAUUCCGUCCAA
rnacentral:lncRNA from 1 species